UACAGGGGGGGCAAGCGUUGUUCGGAAUUACUGGGCGUAAAGAGUGUGUAGGUGGUGUCGUAAGUUUGGUGUGAAAUCUCCCGGCUUAACUGGGAGGGUGCGCCGAAGACUGCGAUGCUGGAGUAUGGGAGAGGAAAGCGGAAUUCCUGGUGUAGCGGUGAAAUGCGUAGAUAUCAGGAGGAACACCUGCGGUGUAGACGGCUUUCUGGACCAUUACUGACACUGAGACACGAAAGCGUGGGUAGCAAACAGG
rnacentral:rRNA from 1 species